UACAGUUUGAUCCGGGAUCAGGACGAACGCUGGCGGCGUGCUUAACACAUGCAAGUCGAACGGUGAAGGUGGGAGCUUGCUCCUGCUGGAUCAGUGGCGAACGGGUGAGUAACACGUGAGUAACCUGCCCUUGACUCUGGGAUAAGGCGUUGGAAACGACCGUCUAAAUACCGGAUACGAGCUUCAGCCGCAUGGCUAGGAGUUUGGAAAGAAUUUCGGUCAAGGAUGGACUCGCGGCCUAUCAGCUUGUUGGUGAGGUAAUGGCUCACCAAGGCGACGACGGGUAGCCGGCCUGAGAGGGUGACCGGCCACACUGGGACUGAGACACGGCCCAGACUCCUACGGGAGGCAGCAGUGGGGAAUAUUGCGCAAUGGGCGCAAGCCUGAUGCAGCAACGCCGCGUGAGGGACGACGGCCUUCGGGUUGUAAACCUCUUUUAGCAGGGAAGAAGCGAAAGUGACGGUACCUGCAGAAAAAGCACCGGCUAACUACGUGCCAGCAGCCGCGGUAAUACGUAGGGUGCAAGCGUUGUCCGGAAUUAUUGGGCGUAAAGAGCUCGUAGGCGGUUUGUCGCGUCUGCUGUGAAAACGCGAGGCUCAACCUCGCGCCUGCAGUGGGUACGGGCAGACUAGAGUGCGGUAGGGGGAGAUUGGAAUUCCUGGUGUAGUGGUGGAAUGCGCAGAUAUCAGGAGGAACACCGAUGGCGAAGGCAGAAUCUCUGGGCCGUAACUGACGCUGAGGAGCGAAAGCGUGGGGUAGCGAACAGGUAUUAGAUACCCUGGUAGUCCACGCCGUAAACGUUGGGAACUAGAUGUAGGGACCAUUCCACGGUUUCUGUGUCGCAGCUAACGCAUUAAGUUCCCCGCUUUGGGGAGUACGGUCACAAGACUAAAACUUUUUUUCUUUUUGA
rnacentral:rRNA from 1 species